rnacentral:RNase_P_RNA from 1 species
AGAGUAGGCGCAGGCGGUUGCGGAUUGGCGAAAGCCAGUCUGAGGAAAGUCCGGGCUCCCGAAAGACCAGACUUGCUGGGUAACGCCCAGUGCGAGCGAUCGCGAGGAUAGUGCCACAGAAAGAUACCGCCAACCAAUUUUGGAUUUUAGAUUCAAAUCUAAAAUCCAAAAUUGGUUGGUAAGGGUGCAAAGGUGCGGUAAGAGCGCACCAGCAGCGUCGAGAGGCGCUGGCUCGGUAAACCCCGGUUGGGAGCAAGGUCGGAGGAACUACGGUUGGUCUUUUACCGGUUCCGUUGCUUAGGUACCGCUAGAGGCGUCUGGUAACAGGCGUCCCAGAUAGAUAACUGCCUUCUGUGCUGCACGUCAGUCAGAAAACAGAACCCGGCUUAUGUCCGACUCUCUUC